rnacentral:rRNA from 1 species
GACGAACGCUGGCGGCGUGCUUAACACAUGCAAGUCGAACGGUGAUCUUGGGAGCUUGCUCCUGGGUGAUCAGUGGCGAACAGGUGAGUAACACGUGAGUAACCUGCCCCUGACUCUGGAAUAACUUCGGGAAACCGAAGCUAAUACCGGAUAUGACACAGAGCCGCAUGGUUUCUGUGUGGAAAGUCUUUUCGGUUGGGGAUGGACUCGCGGCCUAUCAGCUUGUUGGUGAGGUAAUGGCUCACCAAGGCGACGACGGGUAGCCGGCCUGAGAGGGCGACCGGCCACACUGGGACUGAGACACGGCCCAGACUCCUACGGGAGGCAGCAGUGGGGAAUAUUGCACAAUGGGCGAAAGCCUGAUGCAGCGACGCCGCGUGAGGGAUGAAGGCCUUCGGGUUGUAAACCUCUUUCAGUAGGGAAGAAGCGCAAGUGACGGUACCUACAGAAGAAGCACCGGCUAACUACGUGCCAGCAGCCGCGGUAAAAC